AAGUCGUAACAAGGUUUCCGUAGGUGAACCUGCGGAAGGAUCAUUAUUGAAUAUUCUUGAUGGGUUGUAGCUGGCUCUUCGGGGCAUGUGCACGCCUGUCUUGACUUUAUUCAUCCACCUGUGCACCUUUUGUAGUCUUGGGAGUUGAGAGCAGUCAAUAAUCGGAUGACCAUUUGGUCACUCCGGGUGUGAGGAAUGCUGAGUGCGAAAGCAUACAGCUCUUCUCAAAGUGACUUGUAAUCCUCUCCUUCAAGUACUAUGUAUUCAUAUACCCAUAGUAUGUUGUAGAAUGUGAUCAAUGGGCCUAAGUGCCUAUAACAAUCAUAUACAACUUUCAGCAACGGAUCUCUUGGCUCUC
rnacentral:misc_RNA from 1 species